rnacentral:rRNA from 1 species
UGGGUAACCUGCCUCAAAGAGGGGAAUAGCCUCCCGAAAGGGAGAUUAAUACCGCAUAAUAUGUUUUGAUCGCAUGAUCGAGACAUCAAAGGGAUUUCCUCGGAAAUUCCACUUUGAGAUGGACCCGCGGCGCACUAGCUAGUUGGAGAGGUAACGGCUCACCAAGGCGACGAUGCGUAGCCGACCUGAGAGGGUGAUCCGGCCACAUUGGAACUGAGACACGGUCCAGACUCCG